rnacentral:sRNA from 1 species
ACAAAACAGGCAAGAAGACCAAAUUCUUGCCGGAAUUCGCGGUCAAGUCUUGGGAGGAUAAGAUCUUAGGCGCGCUCGUUCGCUGCCGCCGGAAACGGAUUAAAGAUCACGCGAAACUUAGAAAACAAGGCUUUACGCCUUGUUUUUUUUU